rnacentral:rRNA from 1 species
GAUGAACGCUGGCGGCGUGCCUAAUACAUGCAAGUCGAACGCAUAGCGAAAGGUGCUUGCACCUUUCAAGUGAGUGGCGAACGGGUGAGUAACACGUGGACACCCUGCCUCAAGGCUGGGGAUAACAUUUGGAAACAGAUGCUAAUACCGAAUAAAACUUAGUGUCGCAUGACACAAAGUUAAAAGGCGCUUCGGCGUCACCUAGAGAUGGAUCCGCGGUGCAUUGGUUAGUUGGUGGGGUAAAGGCCUACCAAGACAAUGAUGCAUAGCCGGGUGGAGAGACUGAUCCGCCACAUUGGGACUGAGACACGGCCCAAACUCCUACUGCAGGCGGCAGUAGGGACUCUUCCACAAUGGGCGAAAGCCUGAUGGAGCAACGCCGCGUGUUUGAUGAAGGCUUUCUGGUCGUAAACCGCUGUUGUCUGGGAAGAACAGCUAGAAUAGGAAAUGAUGUUAGUUUGACGGUACCAUACCAGAAAGCGACGGCUAAAUACGUG